rnacentral:rRNA from 1 species
CCUACGGGAGGCAGCAGUGAGGAAUAUUGGUCAAUGGACGAGAGUCUGAACCAGCCAAGUAGCGUGAAGGAUGACUGCCCUAUGGGUUGUAAACUUCUUUUAUAUGGGAAUAAAAUGUUCCACGUGUGGGAUGUUGUAUGUACCAUAUGAAUAAGGAUCGGCUAACUCCGUGCCAGCAGCCGCGGUAAUACGGAGGAUCCGAGCUUUAUCCGGAUUUAUUGGGUUUAAAGGGAGCGUAGGUGGAUUGUUAAGUCAGUUGUGAAAGUUUGCGGCGCAACCGUAAAAUUGCAGUUGAAACUGGCAGUCUUGAGUACAGUAGAGGUGGGCGGAAUUCGUGGUGUAGCGGUGAAAUGCUUAGAUAUCACGAAGAACUCCGAUUGCGAAGGCAGCUCACUGGACUGCAACUGACACUGAGGCUCGAAAGUGUGGGUAUCAAACAGGAUUAGAUACCCGGGUAGUC